rnacentral:rRNA from 1 species
GGGUUGUGAGGUUAAGCGAAUAAGCGUACACGGUGGAUGCCUAGGCAAUCAGAGGCGAUGAAGGACGUGCUAAUCUGCGAAAAGCGUCGGUAAGGUGAUAUGAACCGUUAUACCCGACGAUAUCCGAAUGGGGAAACCCAGUAUCCAAUGGAUACUAUCAUUAACUGAAUCCAUAGGUUAAUGAGGCGAACCGGGAGAACUGAAACAUCUCAGUACCCCGAGGAAAAGAAAUCAACCGAGAUUCCCCUAGUAGCGGCGAGCGAACGGGGAGCAGCCCAGAGUCUUAAUCAAUAGCAGUGUCAGGAGAACGGUCUGGAAAGUCCGGCAGUAAAGGGUGAUAGCCCCGUAUCUGAAGAUGCUGUUAUUGUGAACUCGACGAGUAGGGCGGGACACGUGUUAUCCUGUCUGAAUAUGGGGGGACCAUCCUCCAAGGCUAAAUACUCCUGAUUGACCGAUAGUGAACCAGUACCGUGAGGGAAAGGCGAAAAGAACCCCGGCGAGGGGAGUGAAAAAGAACCUGAAACCGUGUACGUACAAGCAGUAGGAGCCUCUUUAUGGGGUGACUGCGUACCUUUUGUAUAAUGGGUCAGCGACUUAUAUUCUGUAGCAAGGUUAACCGUAUAGGGGAGCCGUAGGGAAACCGAGUCUUAACUGGGCGAAUGAGUUGCAGGGUAUAGACCCGAAACCCGGUGAUCUAUCCAUGGGCAGGUUGAAGGUUGGGUAACACUAACUGGAGGACCGAACCGACUAAUGUUGAAAAAUUAGCGGAUGACUUGUGGAUGGGGGUGAAAGGCCAAUCAAACCGGGAGAUAGCUGGUUCUCCCCGAAAGCUAUUUAGGUAGCGCCUCGUGAACUCAUCUUCGGGGGUAGAGCACUGUUUCGACUAGGGGGUCAUCCCGACUUACCAACUCGAUGCAAACUGCGAAUACCGAAGAAUGUUAUCACGGGAGACACACGGCGGGUGCUAACGUCCGUCGUGAAGAGGGAAACAACCCAGACCGCCAGCUAAGGUCCCAAAGUCAUGGUUAAGUGGGAAACGAAGUGGGAAGGCUCAGACAGCCAGGAUGUUGGCUUAGAAGCAGCCAUCAUUUAAAGAAAGCGUAAUAGCUCACUGGUCGAGUCGGCCCGCGCGGAAGAUGUAACGGGGCUAAACCAUGCACCGAAGCUGCGGCAGCGACACAAAGUGUUGUUGGGUAGGGGAGCGUUCUGUAAGCCUGCGAAGGUGUACUGUGAGGUAUGCUGGAGGUAUCAGAAGUGCGAAUGCUGACAUAAGUAACGAUAAUGCGGGUGAAAAACCCGCACGCCGGAAGACCAAGGGUUCCUGUCCAACGUUAAUCGGGGCAGGGUGAGUCGACCCCUAAGGCGAGGCUGAAAAGCGUAGUCGAUGGGAAACGGGUUAAUAUUCCCGUACUGGUGGUAACUGCGAUGGGGGAACGGAGAAGGCUAGGUUGUCCGGGCGACGGUCGUCCCGGUUCAAGCAGGUAGGCAGAGUGAUUAGGCAAAUCCGGUCACUUAAUGCUGAGAUGUGAUGACGAACCACCAAGGUGGUGAAGCAAUUGAUGCCCCGCUUCCAGGAAAAGCCUCUAAGCUUCAGGUUACCAACAAUCGUACCCCAAACCGACACAGGUGGUCAGGUAGAGAAUACUCAGGCGCUUGAGAGAACUCGGGUGAAGGAACUAGGCAAAAUGGUGCCGUAACUUCGGGAGAAGGCACGCUGGCGGUAGGUAAAGUCCCUCGCGGACGGCGCUGAAGCCAGUCGAAGAUACCAGCUGGCUGCAACUGUUUAUUAAAAACACAGCACUGUGCAAACACGAAAGUGGACGUAUACGGUGUGACGCCUGCCCGGUGCUGGAAGGUUAAUUGAUGGGGUUAGCCGUAAGGCGAAGCUCCUGAUCGAAGCCCCAGUAAACGGCGGCCGUAACUAUAACGGUCCUAAGGUAGCGAAAUUCCUUGUCGGGUAAGUUCCGACCUGCACGAAUGGCGUAAUGAUGGCCAGGCUGUCUCCACCCGAGACUCAGUGAAAUUGAACUCGCUGUGAAGAUGCAGUGUACCCGCGGCAAGACGGAAAGACCCCGUGAACCUUUACUAUAGCUUGACACUGAACAUUGAGCCUUGAUGUGUAGGAUAGGUGGGAGGCUUUGAAGUGUGGACGCCAGUCUGCAUGGAGCCAACCUUGAAAUACCACCCUUUAACGUUUGAUGUUCUAACCUAGGCCCAUAAACUGGGUCGGGGACCGUGUCUGGUGGGUAGUUUGACUGGGGCGGUCUCCUCCUAAAGAGUAACGGAGGAGCACGAAGGUUGGCUAAGCAUGGUCGGACAUCAUGCGGUUAGUGCAAAGGCAUAAGCCAGCUUGACUGCGAGAGUGACGGCUCGAGCAGGUACGAAAGUAGGUCUUAGUGAUCCGGUGGUUCUGAAUGGAAGGGCCAUCGCUCAACGGAUAAAAGGUACUCCGGGGAUAACAGGCUGAUACCGCCCAAGAGUUCAUAUCGACGGCGGUGUUUGGCACCUCGAUGUCGGCUCAUCACAUCCUGGGGCUGAAGUAGGUCCCAAGGGUAUGGCUGUUCGCCAUUUAAAGUGGUACGCGAGCUGGGUUUAGAACGUCGUGAGACAGUUCGGUCCCUAUCUGCCGUGGGCGUUGGAAGAUUGAGAGGGGUUGCUCCUAGUACGAGAGGACCGGAGUGAACGCACCACUGGUGUUCGGGUUGUCAUGCCAAUGGCAUUGCCCGGUAGCUAAGUACGGAAGAGAUAACCGCUGAAAGCAUCUAAGCGGGAAACUUGCCUCGAGAUGAGUCUUCCCUGUCGCUUUAAGCGACCUAAAGGAACGUUUAAGACUAAGACGUUGAUAGGCUGGGUGUGUAAGCGUAGCGAUACGUUGAGCUAACCAGUACUAAUGAACCGUGAGGCUUAACCUGACAACACCGAAAGUGUUUUG